GUGAGGAAUAUUGGUCAAUGGACGCAAGUCUGAACCAGCCAUGCCGCGUGCAGGAUGAAUGUGCUAUGCAUUGUAAACUGCUUUUGUACGAGGGUAAAAACAGGUACGUGUACCUGGUUGAAAGUAUCGUACGAAUAAGGGUCGGCUAACUCCGUGCCAGCAGCCGCGGUAAUACGGAGGACCCGAGCGUUAUCCGGAUUUAUUGGGUUUAAAGGGUGCGUAGGCGGAUUGGUAAGUUAGAGGUGAAAGCUCAGCGCUUAACGUUGAAACUGCCUCUGAUACUGUCGGUCUAGAGUAUAGUUGCGGAAGGCGGAAUGUGUGGUGUAGCGGUGAAAUGCUUAGAUAUCACACAGAACACCGAUUGCGAAGGCAGCUUUCCAAGCUAUCACUGACGCUGAGGCACGAAAGCGUGGGGAGCGAACAGGAUUAGAAACCCUAGUAGUCC
rnacentral:rRNA from 1 species